rnacentral:ncRNA from 1 species
AUUUUAAUUUAAUUAAUUUAAAUAAAUAAAUAAUAAACUUAAUUUUAAUUUAAUAAAUAAAUAAUUAAUUUUUACUUAUAUAUAAUUUUUUAAAAAAAAAUUUUAAAUAAAAUUUUAAUCUUAAUAUAUAAAAUUAAUAUAAUAAAUAAAUUUAUAAUUAAAAAUAAUUUUAAUUAUUAAUUAAAUUUGUGCCAGCAAUUGCGGUUAAACAAGUAAUAAAAUUUAUUUAAAUCAAUUCAAUUAAUUUUUUUAAAAAUUAAUUUAAAAUUUUAUUAUAUGAUUAAAUAUUUAAUAAAUAAAUAAAUUAUAAACUCAAUUUAAAUAAAAUUUUAAAUUUAUUUAAUAAACUAGGAUUAGAUACCCUAUUAUUAAAACUAAUACAAAUAAUUUAAGAAAUAAAUGUUUUAUCAUUAAAUUUAAAAAAUUUGGCGGUAUUUUUAUAAUAGAGGAAUUUAUUUAUUAAUUGAUAAUCCACAAUAAAAUCUACUUAAUUUUUAUACUUAUAUACUUCUGUAAAGAUAUAAAUUUAAAUUUAUAUUUUCUAAAAAUAAUUUAAAAUUAAUUAAAAUAUUUCAAGUCAAAGUUUAGUUUAUAAUUAAGAUUAAAUGAAUUACAUUAUAAAAAAUUUAAUUUCUUAAAAAAUUAAAUUUUUAGAAUUUAUUAAUAAAAUUAAAAAAUUAUUUAAUUUGAAUUAAAAAUAAAAAUAUGUACAAAUCGCCCGUCAUUCUUAAACAUAUUAAGACAAGUCGUAACAAAGUAAAAAUACUGGAAAGUGUUUUUAGAAUUUUAA